rnacentral:rRNA from 1 species
AACGAACGCUGGCGGCAGGCUUAACACAUGCAAGUCGAACGCACCGCAAGGUGAGUGGCAGACGGGUGAGUAACACGUGGGGAUCUGCCCAAUGGUACGGAAUAGCUCCGGGAAACUGGAAUUAAUACCGUAUGAGCCCGCAAGGGGAAAGAUUUAUCGCCAUUGGAUGAACCCGCGUCGGAUUAGCUAGUUGGUGUGGUAAAGGCGCACCAAGGCGACGAUCCGUAGCUGGUCUGAGAGGAUGAUCAGCCACACUGGGACUGAGACACGGCCCAGACUCGUACGAGAGGCAGCAGUGGGGAAUAUUGGACAAUGGGCGCAAGCCUGAUCCAGCCAUGCCGCGUGAGUGAUGAAGGCCUUAGGGUUGUAAAGCUCUUUCGCCGACGAAGAUAAUGACGGUAGUCGGAGAAGAAGCCCCGGCUAACUUCGUGCCAGCAGCCGCGGUAACAC